UUGGAAAGAGAGUUAAAAAGCACGUGAAAUUGUUGAAAGGGAAGGGCAUGCAACCAGACUUGUCGGCGGUGUUCCGCCGGUCUUCUGACCGGUCUACUCGCCGCCGGCAGGCCAGCAUCACUUGGGCGCGCCGGAUAAAGGCGCGAGGAAUGUAGCCCCUCGGGGUGUUAUAGCCUCGCGUACAAUACGGCGCCGCCCGAGUGAGGUCCGCGCUUCGGCUAGGAUGCUGGCGUAAUGGUUGUUUGCCGCCCGUCUUGAAACACGGACCAAGGAGUCUAACAUCUAUGCGAGUGUUCGGGUGUCAAACCCCUACGCGGAAUGAAAGUGAACGGAGGUGGGAAGCGCAAGCUGCACCAUCGACCGAUCCUGAUGUCUUCGGAUGGAUUUGAGUAAGAGCAUAGCUGUUGGGACCCGAAAGAUGGUGAACUAUGCCUGAAUAGGGUGAAG
rnacentral:rRNA from 1 species